ensembl:lncRNA
AAAAACGACAGUGUCACCCCUCAUGUUUCAUUUGAUGAAAACGACAGUGUUACCCCCUAUGUUUUAUUCGAUACAUUUCGACAGUGUUACCCCCUAUGUUUUUUUCCCAUGAUGACUGAUGAAAAACAACAGUGUUACCCCUUAUGUUUUAUUUGACAGGGAAUUUUUUUUAUAUAACUCCUCCCCCGUCACAGGUAGGGAUAAAAAAGAGGUUAUAACUCCUCCCCCGUCACAGGUAGAGAUAGAGGGAGAUAUUAUAACUCCUCCCCCGUCCGAGGUAGGGAUACAGAGAGAUUAUAACUCCUCCCCCGUCAAAGGUGGGGAUACAAAGAGAUUAUAACUCCUCCCCCGUCACAGGUAGGGAUACAGAGGUUAUAACUCCUCCCCCGUCACAGGUAGGGACUGAUAAAAAACCUCAGUGUUACCCCUUAUAUUUUUUUUGACAAAGACAACAGUGUUACCCCUUAUGUUUUUCUUCAUGACGACCAAU